rnacentral:tRNA from 1 species
CAUUAAGAAGCUAUGCUACAGCACUAGCCUUUUAAGCUAGAAAAAGAGGUAAUUUUCCUCCUUAAUGA